rnacentral:rRNA from 1 species
UACGUAGGGUGCGAGCGUUAAUCGGAAUUACUGGGCGUAAAGCGUGCGCAGGCGGUUUUGUAAGCCAGAUGUGAAAUCCCCGGGCUUAACCUGGGAAUGGCAUUUGGGACUGCAAGGCUCGAGUGCGGCAGAGGAGACUGGAAUUCCUGGUGUAGCAGUGAAAUGCGUAGAUAUCAGGAGGAACACCGAUGGCGAAGGCAGGUCUCUGGGCUGACACUGACGCUCAUGCACGAAAGCGUGGGGAGCAAAAGGG